rnacentral:lncRNA from 1 species
GGGUCUCAGUUUCCCUACUCAUAGAACAAGGGGGUUGGGCUCAGUACAAUCCACCUCCCUCCCCAGCCCAGAUUAACUGGUGAGCUUGGAGGGCUGUGUGCAGGAUUACAAUGCCAAGUUCAGUCUCAGGAACAGAUGCCAGGACCCAUCAGGGACAGACUGAAGUGGGCUGGUGCAUAUGAGCCUUGUGUCAUUCAUCUUCUUCACUCGCUUUGUGACACCCUGUACUCUGACAGGGGACAGAGGACCGGCCCUCCAUGAGAAGUGCAUCUCCCCUCACUGUGUGUGCCCCGGGGCCAAACAUCUAAUUCGAGGCAUCUGACGUUGGCUCAUGCAGAUACGGAAUAACCGCUUUCCUAAGGAAGAAGCAGGAGGAUUUUCCCCCAAUUCUACCUAUUCUUUUCUUUUUCUUUAUAUACUCAUGAGAAGCCAUAAUGGGAUAGUGCUCAUCUUAGUUCAGACUGAGUCAUUUACCAACAAUGGAAGUUUAUUGCUCACAGUUCUGAAAGCUGGGAAGUUCAAGAUGAAAGUGCAGCAGAUUCAAUAUCUGGUGAGAGCUUGCUCCUGCUUCAGAGGUGGUGCCUUCUUGCUGUGUUGCCACCUGACAAAAGAGGCCAGGAGGCUCCCUCUGAUCUCUUUUAUAAGGGCACUAAUCUCACUCAUCAGGGCUCUGCCAUCAAGACUUUUUCACUUCCUAAGACCCCACCUCUAAUACCACCACCUCCAGUAUUACUAGGUUCCCACAGAUGAACUUGGGAGGGGCACCAAAGUCAGACCAUCGCAACUUUCAAGCUCAGUGUUAGC